UACGGGGGGGGGCAAGCGUUGUUCGGAAUCACUGGGCUUAAAGGGCGCGUAGGCGGGCCGGCGAGUCCGGGGUGAAAGCCCCCAGCCCAACUGGGGAAGUGCCUCGGAUACUGCCGGCCUCGAGGGAGGUAGGGGCGUGCGGAACUUCCGGUGGAGCGGUGAAAUGCGUAGAUAUCGGAAGGAACACCGGUGGCGAAAGCGGCGCGCUGGACCUCUUCUGACGCUGAGGCGCGAAAGCCAGGGGAGCGAACGGG
rnacentral:rRNA from 1 species